AUUGCUGUUCGCCAUCAUGCAAUCGGUAAAUAUUAUUGCUUUACGGUCUGGAUGAUUUAGGGAAAAGUAUUGUAGAAGACGAACAAGUUUUUUUCGUUGAUUCUGUGAGAAAAAGACGCUUACUCGUAGGCCUACCGCCCGGUACCACAGAGUACAGACCAUCAUUCAUGCAAUCGAUGCAUGGCGUGUGUGUCAUUGACACUGUCGAGUGUGUGCAGACUUAAGACUGCAGUCUAGGCGUUCAGGCUACAGGCUUCAUCAUGUCUGUGCCCUCCGUGCCACCCCUGGGGUUUUUAAUGCCACUCGUGCCCACACUCAAGUGUUUUGAAGAAUGUAAAAUCCAGUGUGUGAUAAACAUGUGUAAAGAAACCUUUCGUAAGAAGCAAGAAGAGCUUUACAACAAUCUUGGACUGGGAGAUGGAGGCCAUCAUAAACUUCUUGUAGGAUGAGUUGCCGCAGACAGAGAUGAAAACCAUGAUGAAUGUCCGUGAGCCAGAGGCUAUGAUUUGUUUAGUACAACAAUGCGAGGGACUUAACAAAAUUGAGGCGGAAAUAUUGUUGAGGCAGUGUCGGUGCAUGGAAGAAACGGAAACAUUGGAUUAAGGAUUUAUUUCAUAGUGAAUUACACAGUCACAAAUGGAUUACACACGUUCUGGAUUAGACUAGUUUCUGCUGCAACUGACAUUUUUGCAGGUGCCCACUCGUAGGCGAUUCCUUGAUGUCUUCCUUGGAUUUUACAUGAUAUUAUGUCAUUUU